rnacentral:tRNA from 1 species
CGCGGGUUUAUGAUUUUAACCUCGUCGGGCUCAUAACCCGAAGGUCGUAGGUUCAAAUCCUGCCUCCGCAACCA